CCCAGGUGCGGUGGUGCGCACAUGUAGUCUCAGCUACUCGGGAGGCCAAGGCAGGAGGAUUGAGUCCAGGAGUUCUGAGGAUAUAGCGGCCUAUGUCAACCAGGUGUCUGCACUGUUUGGCCUCGAUACGGUGACCUCCUGGGAGCAGGGGACCACCAGGUUGCCUUAGGAGGGGGGAACUGGGCCAGUUUGGAAAGAGAGUAGGUCAAAACUCCUGUGCUGAUUAGUAGUGGGAUCAUGCCUGCAAAUAGCCAGUACACAUCAGCCUGGGCAACAUAGUGAGACACUGCCUCUA
rfam:Chlorocebus sabaeus isolate 1994-021 chromosome 5, whole genome shotgun sequence.